rnacentral:misc_RNA from 1 species
UUUCCGUAGGUGAACCUGCGGAAGGAUCAUUCAUAAUAAGUGUUUUAUGGCACUUUUUUAAAUCCAUAUCCACCUUGUGUGCAAUGUUAGGGUUGAUUUUUCUCUCGAGAGGAUCAACCCCAAACAUCAACUAUAUCUCAACUCUUUGUCUGAAAAAUAUUAUGAAUAAAACAAUUCAAAAUACAACUUUCAACAACGGAUCUCUUGGCUCUC